rnacentral:snRNA from 1 species
GUGCUCGCUUCAGCAGCACACAAACUAAAGGUGGAGCAAUACAGAGUGGAUUAGCACGGCCCCUGUGCAAAGGGCGACACACAAACUCGUUAAGUGUCCCAUUUAUUU